rnacentral:lncRNA from 1 species
UUGCUGUAAAAUUGUGAUGUUCAAAUGGAAAGAAAAAUGAUCGUAAGAUGAAUAUGUUUACAAGAAGUUUAUUAUAUUUAUAGUAAUGCAGGUGAGAUUUGGAUGACAAAAUAGUUCUAGUCUAGUAGUAGAAACAUUGUUCUAGGUUCUGGGUUUGAUCCUUGGGUUCUAGCAUUUCUUAUUUUUAACGUACUUUCUAUUUCCUACUAGUUUUUUUAUUAUUAUUACCAUUUUUUAUUAUUU